GCGAUGGUUUUAAACUUGUCCAUCAACAACAAAUAUCCUAUGAUGGUUUUAAAUUUGUCCAUCAACAACGUUCUUCGUGUUCUUCGCAUGUUCUUCGUGUUCUUCGUUCGUUCUUCAUUUUAAUCGAUAUUUUGGAUUACGAUUUCACUUUUUAUUAGAAUUUGAUGUUAUAAAUCAUCAUUCCUUACUUAUUACACCUACUUAUUGAUAUAAUCCACUCGGAUCGUUCUAAUUCAUUACGCAUCUUAUACUUCCUUAAGAAAUUUAUUUACUAAACUUCAAAUUCUUAUUUUCAUUAUUUCUCAUGAUUUCAACCAUAUGAAAUCAUUCUUAACAUCAUCUACUUCUUAUCUUCAUUAAGUUAUGUUUUAAACAUAUAAAACUUUAAAGAAAAUCUAACAUAGAAGUUAGGUUUUAAUACCUUUCCUCUUUAUUUUUCUUCCGCUAGACAAAACUGGCGAUUUGCUAGCUUUUCCAUUUCACGAACAUUUUCGAUCCGAACAUUCAUGCUCAUGCUCUUCCUUCUCCUUCUCCAUCCGAAUUCUCUCUCUCUCUCUCUAGUGUAGGAUUUUUCAAAAUCUCAUUUAAAUGAAAUCUAG
rnacentral:lncRNA from 1 species